rnacentral:rRNA from 1 species
AUGGUUUCCUCUGAGAUACCUUCAGUUACAACAACCCAUACACAGCGCCCCAAGCUCUUUACAGGGAUGAUACUUCUGCCAAAAGGGCCUCCAGAUGUUGUCCUUCCUGAAAAUGUUGAGUUUGAUUUUAACGAUGUUUUUGGUGCUACGGCGGUCCAGACCCCCACAGAAGUAAGCAUUCUCACUCCAGGCAGCCCUGCACCUUUGGCCGAGUCGAAUGAGGAGGUUUACAAUGACCCUGUAGUCAUUACCAAGCGAUCUCAUUCUCUUGUUGGCCCAACUUCACUUGUUAGCCAAUCCUUGCCACUUAGUAAGCUUACUCUACAUGAGUCUGAGAGCUCAUUAGAUCUGCUAGAGUGUCUUUCUAAAGAAAAGAAAAGUGGCCAGGGGAGUCUUAGUGAUGAAGAGCUCAAUGAUACAACAAAGGAGAAUGAGGCUGUUGGACUCGACGACUUUGAACUCUUGAAGCUUGUUGGCCAAGGGGCAUUUGGCAAAGUCUAUCAGGUGAGAAGGAAAUGUACUUCAGAUAUAUAUGCAAUGAAAGUCAUGAGGAAAGACAAGAUUUUGGAGAAGAACCAUGCUGAGUACAUGAAAGCAGAGAGAGAUAUACUGACAAAAGUUGAUCAUCCUUUUGUGGUGCAGCUGAGGUACUCCUUUCAGACUAAGUACCGACUUUAUCUGGUCUUGGACUUUGUAAAUGGGGGGCAUCUCUUCUUUCAGCUUUACCAACAAGGCUUGUUUAGGGAGGAGCUUGCGCGCAUCUAUACUGCUGAAAUUGUAUCUGCUGUAGCCCACCUUCAUGCCAAUGGGAUUAUGCAUAGAGAUCUGAAGCCUGAGAACAUCUUAUUGGACGCUCAUGGCCAUGCCAUGCUAACUGAUUUUGGCCUGGCAAAGGAGUUUGAUGAGAACACUAGAUCAAAUUCAAUGUGCGGCACUGUGGAGUAUAUGGCCCCGGAAAUUGUUCAGGGCAGAGGUCAUGAUAAGGCUGCAGACUGGUGGAGUGUGGGGAUCCUUCUUUUCGAAAUGCUUACGGGCAAGCCCCCAUUUUUUGGUGGAAACAGGGACAAGAUUCAGCAGAAGAUAGUGAAGGAGAAGAUGAAGCUUCCAACGUAUUUGUCUAGUGAGGUUCACUCUCUGCUGAAAGGGUUACUGCACAAAGAAGCUGGCAGGCGACUUGGAAGUGGACCGGGCGGCAGUGAUGAAAUAAAGAACCACAAGUGGUUCAAGGCAGUGAACUGGAAGAAACUAGAGGCUCGACAGAUCAAGCCAAGCUUCUGCCCAAAUGUUGCUGGGCAGACCUGCAUUGCAAACUUUGACGAGUGCUGGACGAGUAUGCCCGUGCUGGAUUCCCCCGUGGCCAGCCCUGUCGCUGCAGAUAGCAACUUCGUGGGGUUCAGUUACGUGCGGCCGGAGCCAUUCCUUCAAAAGCCGAGUCCUCUAGGCUGA